CUACGGAGGGUGCAAGCGUUGUUCGGAAUCACUGGGCGUAAAGGGCGCGCAGGCGGUUUGGUAAGUCAGAUGUGAAAGCCCACGGCUCAACCGUGGAAGUGCAUUGAAACUGUCAGACUUGAGUACUAGAGGGGAAAGUGGAAUUCCCGGUGUAGAGGUGAAAUUCGUAGAUAUCCGGAGGAAUACCGGUGGCGAAGGCGACUUUCUGGCUAGAUACUGACGCUGAGGCGCGAAAGCAUGGGGAGCAAACAGGAUUAGAUACCCCAGUAGUCC
rnacentral:rRNA from 1 species